rnacentral:rRNA from 1 species
CACUGCCGAGAAAAGCCUCUAGAUAGAAAAUAGGUGCCCGUACCGCAAACCGACACAGGUAGUCAAGAUGAGAAUUCUAAGGUGAGCGAGCGAACUCUCGUUAAGGAACUCGGCAAAAUGACCCCGUAACUUCGGGAGAAGGGGUGCUCUUUAGGGUUAACGCCCAGAAGAGCCGCAGUGAAUAGGCCCAAGCGACUGUUUAUCAAAAACACAGGUCUCUGCUAAACCGUAAGGUGAUGUAUAGGGGCUGACGCCUGCCCGGUGCUGGAAGGUUAAGAGGAGUGGUUAGCUUCUGCGAAGCUACGAAUCGAAGCCCCAGUAAACGGCGGCCGUAACUAUAACGGUCCUAAGGUAGCGAAAUUCCUUGUCGGGUAAGUUCCGACCCGCACGAAAGGCGUAACGAUUUGGGCACUGUCUCAACGAGAGACUCGGUGAAAUCAUAGUACCUGUGAAGAUGCAGGUUACCCGCGACAGGACGGAAAGACCCCGUGGAGCUUUACUGUAGCCUGAUAUUGAAAUUCGGCACAGCUUGUACAGGAUAGGUAGGAGCCUUUGAAACGUGAGCGCUAGCUUACGUGGAGGCGCUGGUGGGAUACUACCCUAGCUGUGUUGGCUUUCUAACCCGCACCACUUAUCGUGGUGGGAGACAGUGUCAGGCGGGCAGUUUGACUGGGGCGGUCGCCUCCUAAAAGGUAACGGAGGCGCUCAAAGGUUCCCUCAGAAUGGUUGGAAAUCAUUCAUAGAGUGUAAAGGCAUAAGGGAGCUUGACUGCGAGACCUACAAGUCGAGCAGGGUCGAAAGACGGACUUAGUGAUCCGGUGGUUCCGCAUGGAAGGGCCAUCGCUCAACGGAUAAAAGC